UCUUACCACUUGGGAUUCUUCGGGAACCUUUUUACAAUCCUGGAUACCCGAUGUACCUGAACUAUGGAAGUCUUGGCGUAGUGGUGGGGCACGAAUUAGUACAUGGUUUCGAUAAUCAUGGAAAGCGAUACGAUAAGCACGGAAAAUGUAUCUCAGUGGUGGAGUGACGAAAUGGC